UCCGGUUUAUCACCAGCAGUCUCGCUAGAGUCCCCACCUUUACGUGAUGGCAACUAGCAACAAGGGUUGCGCUCGUUACGGGACUUAACCCAACAUCUCACAACACGAGCUGACGACAGCCAUGCAGCACCUGUCUCUCAGUUCCCUUUCAGGCACUCCCACCUCUCAGUGGGAUUCCAAGGAUGUCAAGGGUAGGUAAGGUUCUUCGCGUUGCAUCGAAUUAAACCACAUGCUCCACCGCUUGUGCGGGCCCCCGUCAAUUCCUUUGAGUUUUAACCUUGCGGCCGUACUCCCCAGGCGGAGAACUUAGCGCGUUAGCUACGACACCCAAAUGUCUUACCAUUCGAGCGUCUAGUUCUCAUCGUUUACAGCGUGGACUAC
rnacentral:misc_RNA from 1 species